rnacentral:rRNA from 1 species
GACGAACGCGGCGGCGUGCUUAACACAUGCAAGUCGAACGGAGCGAAUGAAAGCUUGCUUUUAUAAGCUUAGUGGCAAACGGGUGAGUAACACGUAGGCAACCUGCCGACAGGAUGGGGACAACAUUCCGAAAGGAAUGCUAAUACCGAAUGAAGCGCAGGAGAGGCAUCUCUCCUGCGUGAAAGAUGGCCUCUAUUUAUAAGCUAUCACCUGUCGAUGGGCCUGCGUCUGAUUAGCUGGUAGGUGAGGUAACGGCUCACCUGGGCGACGAUCAGUAGCCGGUCUGAGAGGAUGAACGGCCACAUUGGGACUGAGACACGGCCCAGACUCCUACGGGAGGCAGCAGUGGGGAAUCUUCCGCAAUGGGCGCAAGCCUGACGGAGCAAACGCCCGCGUGAGUGAAAGAAAGGUCUUUCGGAUCGUAAAAGCUCUGGUGAAUGGGGAACGAAACCGUGCCUAA